rnacentral:rRNA from 1 species
AUUGAACGCUGGCGGCAGGCCUAACACAUGCAAGUCGAGCGAGCGGCGGACGGGUGAGUAAUGUCUGGGAAACUGCCUGAUGGAGGGGGAUAACUACUGGAAACGGUAGCUAAUACCGCAUACCAUCAGAUGUGCCCAGAUGGGAUUAGCUAGUAGGUGGGGUAACGGCUCACCGAGGCGACCAUCCCUAGCUGGUCUGAGAGGAUGACCAGCCAGAUUGGAACUGAGACACGGGCCAGACUCGUCCGGGAGGCAGCAGUGGGGAAUAUUGCACAAUGGGCUCAAGCCUGAUGCAGCCAUGCCGGGUGUGUGAAGAAGGCCUUCGGGUUGUAAAGCACUUUCAGCGGGGAGGCGUUACCCGCAGAAGAAGCACCGGCUAACUCCGUGCCAGCAGCCGCGGUAAUAC